rnacentral:rRNA from 1 species
ACAUGCAAGUCGAGCGAACAGACAAGGAGCUUGCUCCUUUGACGUUAGCGGCGGACGGGUGAGUAACACGUGGGUAACCUACCUAUAAGACUGGGAUAACUUCGGGAAACCGGAGCUAAUACCGGAUAAUAUUUCGAACCGCAUGGUUCGAUAGUGAAAGAUGGUUUUGCUAUCACUUAUAGAUGGACCCGCGCCGUAUUAGCUAGUUGGUAAGGUAACGGCUUACCAAGGCGACGAUACGUAGCCGACCUGAGAGGGUGAUCGGCCACACUGGAACUGAGACACGGUCCAGACUCCUACGGGAGGCAGCAGUAGGGAAUCUUCCGCAAUGGGCGAAAGCCUGACGGAGCAACGCCGCGUGAGUGAUGAAGGUCUUCGGAUCGUAAAACUCUGUUAUUAGGGAAGAACAUACGUGUAAGUAACUAUGCACGUCUUGACGGUACCUAAUCAGAAAGCCACGGCUAACUACGUGCCAGCAGCCGCGGUAAUACGUAGGUGGCAAGCGUUAUCCGGAAUUAUUGGGCGUAAAGCGCGCGUAGGCGGUUUUUUAAGUCUGAUGUGAAAGCCCACGGCUCAACCGUGGAGGGUCAUUGGAAACUGGAAAACUUGAGUGCAGAAGAGGAAAGUGGAAUUCCAUGUGUAGCGGUGAAAUGCGCAGAGAUAUGGAGGAACACCAGUGGCGAAGGCGACUUUCUGGUCUGUAACUGACGCUGAUGUGCGAAAGCGUGGGGAUCAAACAGGAUUAGAUACCCUGGUAGCCCACGCCGUAAACGAUGAGUGCUAAGUGUUAGGGGGUUCCCGCCCCCUUAGUGCUGCAGCUAACGCAUUAAAGCACUUCCCGCCCGG